rnacentral:rRNA from 1 species
CCUACGGGGUGCAGCAGUGGGGAAUAUUGCACAAUGGGCGCAAGCCUGAUGCAGCCAUGCCGCGUGUAUGAAGAAGGCCUUCGGGUUGUAAAGUACUUUCAGCGAGGAGGAAGGCGUUAAGGUUAAUAACCUUGGCGAUUGACGUUACUCGCAGAAGGAGCACCGGCUAACUCCGUGCCAGCAGCCCCGGUAAUACGGAGGGUGCAAGCGUUAAUCGGAAUUACUGGGCGUAAAGCGCACGCAGGCGGUCUGUCAAGUCGGAUGUGAAAUCCCCGGGCUCAACCUGGGAACUGCAUCCGAAACUGGCAGGCUAGAGUCUUGUAGAGGGGGGUAGAAUUCCAGGUGUAGCGGUGAAAUGCGUAGAGAUCUGGAGGAAUACCGGUGGCGAAGGCGGCCCCCUGGACAAAGACUGACGCUCAGGAGCGAAAGCGUGGGGAGCAUACAGGAUUAGAUACCCGGGUAGUC